GAUGAACGCUGGCGGCGUGCCUAAUACAUGCAAGUCGAGCGAACAGACGAGGAGCUUGCUCCUCUGACGUUAGCGGCGGACGGGUGAGUAACACGUGGAUAACCUACCUAUAAGACUGGGAUAACUUCGGGAAACCGGAGCUAAUACCGGAUAAUAUAUUGAACCGCAUGGUUCAAUAGUGAAAGACGGUUUUGCUGUCACUUAUAGAUGGAUCCGCGCCGCAUUAGCUAGUUGGUAAGGUAACGGCUUACCAAGGCAACGAUGCGUAGCCGACCUGAGAGGGUGGUCGGCCACACUGGAACUGAGACACGGUCCAGACUCCUACGGGAGGCAGCAGUAGGGAAUCUUCCGCAAUGGGCGAAAGCCUGACGGAGCAACGCCGCGUGAGUGAUGAAGGUCUUCGGAUCGUAAAACUCUGUUAUUAGGGAAGAACAAAUGUGUAAGUAACUAUGCACGUCUUGACGGUACCUAAUCAGAAAGCCACGGCUAACUACGUGC
rnacentral:rRNA from 1 species